rnacentral:lncRNA from 1 species
GGGUUUUGACCCUAAGAUCAGGAAUAGCUCCUGGGUUUUGCAGCCUCCUCGGGCUGGUGGAUCCAAUUUCUCGUUAGGAUUUGAUGAACCAACAGAAUCAUCCAUGAGAAAGAAUAAAAUGGCCUCUAGCAUCUUUGGAACACUUGAAGAAAAUCCCCCUUCUUGGGCCAAGUUGGCAGGUGCCAAAGAUAGUGGUGGAAGCAAAGAUUUGGAAUCAUCUUGAAAAAAGAGAAGAAAUUCUUUGGAAGCAAGCUGUGGAAACUUCUUAGAUCUGAAGGGAGAAGGUGACAUUCAUAAAAAUGGGGACACGAACCUACAAGGCAGCCUGGGGCAGAGUGAAGAAAACCACUUGCCUGCUUGGCCAGUGCUCAGGCC